UAAACCUGUCCAAUCACUGCAACGUCCUUUAUAACAGCGGGCUGAUACGCGUGCGUCUCUUUCACAUGCAGACGGCUGCCACUUCUCACCGGAGAGUCAGUAAGCUGAGCUGCGCAGUCGUUCAGCUGGAAUACUUACAACGUAAGAAGCUGUCGCAGGCAGAAAACUAGAGAAACCGAAUGAGCAGAAUGGUGAAAGGUCUCCUACGGCGGUGGGUCCAGUCCAGUGUGCUGCAACGCGGCUCCGCAAUGCACAUCAACACCGAUUUUCAAUCUGACAGGUCAAGGAAGCAACUGAUGUGAAGUUUUUAAGUUUUUUUUAUUUUAUUAGAAAUUCCAGAUGCAAUAUGGCUACAAACAAGGCAGAAGUAUCAGGCAUAGAAAGGCAGCAUUUACACCUUCACAAAUUUGCACUGGAUAACACUGGACCUACAGAAGACAAAAAAAGAGCAGGUACGAAUCUGUGUACAUCAAAAAAAAUAAAGUCUACAAAAAAAGCCAGACGGUGCUAGAAAUUGUGAGCUGUGACAUUCUCAGUCUUAAAUUACAAUGAUAGAAUAUUCGCCAUUCAUUUCCCAAAGGGUCAUUUUGAAUUCUGCAUUUUUGCAAGAGCAAGCAAUUUUAAAACUGCAUUCAGAGUAUUCUUUGAACGGUGUACUCUGACUAGAGAUAAGAUUGAGUUGUGCUUCACAUAAAACUCCGCCUAUGCACUGCGUAUUUGAAAUCUUGCCCGUUUGAAACCUAGGCACAGUUCUGUUAGGGGCAUUACAAUAGAACAUCCACAGUCUAGAUAAAUAUGCUCAAGCGUCCGCUGACUUGCACAGGAAGUCUGAUACGUUAUGCAAAUGUACUGCUGUAGUGUUAAAUUGAGGGAGAUGCAUAUCCGGACGAUUUCUAGCCAACCCACCGUUGUUUUGUUUUUUACCAUUAUCGUACGCGAAAUCGAUGGCUAUACAGGAGGCCGAGCAUUCAGUCUGUGCGCACUCAAGCUGUCCUGAAAUAAUAAA